rnacentral:rRNA from 1 species
UCCAGAGGGUGCAAGCGUUAAUCGGAAUUACUGGGCGUAAAGCGUGCGUAGACGGUUACAUAAGUCAGAUGUGAAAGCCCCGGGCUCAACCUGGGAAUUGCAUUUGAGACUGCGUAGCUAGGGUGCGGAAGAGGGAAGCGGAAUUUCCGGUGUAGCGGUGAAAUGCGUAGAUAUCGGAAGGAACACCAGUGGCGAAAGCGGCUUCCUGGUCCAGCACCGACGUUCAGGCACGAAAGCGUGGGGAGCAAACAGG